rnacentral:rRNA from 1 species
AUACGUAGGGUGCAAGCGUUAAUCGGAAUUACUGGGCGUAAAGCGUGCGCAGGCGGUUCUGUAAGACAGAGGUGAAAUCCCCGGGCUCAACCUGGGAACUGCCUUUGUGACUGCAAGGCUAGAGUACGGCAGAGGGGGAUGGAAUUCCGCGGGUAGCAGUGAAAUGCGUAGAUAUGCGGAGGAACACCGAUGGCGAAGGCAAUCCCCUGGGCCUGUACUGACGCUCAUGCACGAAAGCGUGGGGAGCAAACAGGAUUAGAUACCCUGGUAGUCCACGCCCUAAACGAUGUCAACUGGUUGUUGGGUCUUCAUUGACUCAGUAACGAAGCUAACGCGUGAAGUUGACCGCCUGGGGAGUACGGCCGCAAGGUUGAAACUCAAAUGAAUUGACGGGG